rnacentral:rRNA from 1 species
AGAGCGAACGCUGGCGGCAGGCCUAACACAUGCAAGUCGAGCGCCCCGCAAGGGGAGCGGCAGACGGGAGAGUAACACGUGGGAACGUACCCUUCAGUCCGGAACAACCCAGGGAAACUUGGGCUAAUACCGGAUACGUCCGUAAGGAGAAAGAUUUAUCGCUGAAGGAUCGGCCCGCGUCUGAUUAGCUUGUUGGUGAGGUAACGGCUCACCAAGGCGACGAUCAGUAGCUGGUCUGAGAGGAUGAUCAGCCUCACUAGGACUGAGACACGGCCCAGACUCCUACGGGAGGCAGCAGUGGGGAAUAUUGGACAAUGGGCGCAAGCCUGAUCCAGCCAUGCCGCGUGGGUGAUGAAGGCCCUAGGGUUGUAAAGCCCUUUCGGCGGGGAAGAUAAUGACGGUACCCGCAGAAGAAGCCCGGCUAACUUCGUGCCAGCAGCCGC